AUACGUAGGGGGCAAGCGUUGUCCGGAAUGAUUGGGCGUGAAGGGCGCGUAGGCGGCCUGGUAAGUCUGGAGUGAAAGUCCUGCUUUUAAGGUGGGAAUUGCUUUGGAUACUGUCGGGCUUGAGUGCAGGAGAGGUAAGCGGAAUUCCCGGUGUAGCGGUGAAAUGCGUAGAGAUCGGGAGGAACACCAGUGGCGAAGGCGGCUUACUGGACUGUAACUGACGCUGAGGCGCGAAAGUGUGGGGAGCAAACAGGAUUAGAUACCCUGGUAGUCCACACUGUAAACGAUGAAUGCUAGGUGUAGGGGGUAUCGACCCCUUCUGUGCCGGAGUCAACACAAUAAGCAUUCCGCCUGGGGAGUACGGCCGCAAGGUUGAA
rnacentral:rRNA from 1 species